rnacentral:rRNA from 1 species
ACGCUAGCGGCAGGCCUAACACAUGCAAGUCGAACGGUAACAUGAGAGCUUGCUCUUGAUGACGAGUGGCGCACGGGUGCGUAACGCGUAUGCAAUCUACCUAUAACUGAGGAAUAGCCCAGAGAAAUUUGGAUUAAUACCUCAUAAUAAUAUUUUUUGGCAUCAUUUAAUAUUUAAAACUCCGGUGGUUAUAGAUGAGCAUGCGUUCUAUUAGUUAGUUGGUGAGGUAAGAGCUCACCAAGACUUCGAUAGAUAGGGGGCCUGAAAGGGUGAUCCCCCACACUGGUACUGAGACACGGACCAGACUCCUACGGGAGGCAGCAGUGAGGAAUAUUGCACAAUGGAGGAAACUCUGAUGCAGCCAUGCCGCGUGCAGGACGAAUGCCCUAUGGGUUGUAAACUGCUUUUUUACAAGAAGAAACCUUGGUACGUGUACCAACUUGACGGUAUUGUAAGAAUAAGCACCGGCUAACUCCGUGCCAGCAGCCGCGGUAAUACGGAGGGUGCAAGCGUUAUCCGGAUUUAUUAGGUUUAAAGGGUUCGCAGGCGGAAUUUUAAGUCAGUGGUGAAAGCCUAUAGCUCAACUAUAGAACUGCCACUGAUACUGAUAUUCUUGAGUAUAGAUGAAGUGGGCGGAAUAUGUCAUGUAGCGGUGAAAUGCAUAGAUAUGACAUGGAACACCAAUUGCGAAGGCAGCUCACUAAACUAUUACUGACGCUCAUGAACGAAAGCAUGGGGAGCGAACAGGAUUAGAUACCCUGGUAGUCCAUGCUGUAAACUAUGAUCACUAGAUGUUGGCGAUAUACUGUCAGUGUUUAAGAGAAAUCGUUAAGUGAUCCACCUGGGGAGUACGUUCGCAAGAAUGAAACUC